CAGCAGCCGCGGGAAUACAGAGGGUGCGAGCGUUAAUCGGAUUUACUGGGCGUAAAGCGUGCGUAGGCGGCUAAUUGAGUCGGAUGUGAAAUCCCCGAGCUUAACUUGGGAAUUGCAUUCGAUACUGGUUAGCUAGAGUGUGGGAGAGGAUGGUAGAAUUCCAGGUGUAGCGGUGAAAUGCGUAGAGAUCUGGAGGAAUACCGAUGGCGAAGGCAGCCAUCUGGCCUAACACUGACGCUGAGGUACGAAAGCAUGGGGAGCAAACAGGAUUAGAUACCCGAGUAGUCCCUGUCUCUUAUAC
rnacentral:rRNA from 1 species